CUACCAUCUGCUGUGUGACCUUGAAUUUGCCACCGUCCCUUCCUCCUCCCCACCCUGGAACCCAUUUCCAAGACUGUGCCAUGAAGGUGGUUGUCACCGAUGGUCUCUGGGAACUUUCCCAAUCUUACCCAUUCAAGGAUCGCAGGAAGGAACAGGACGGCGGGAACUGGACCAGGGUCAUCUGUGAGCUCAGCACGCACCUGCUCCUCCUGGAGACUUCGGAUGAUCUUCCUGACCUUGAACAUAACUCUCAGAACCACACAUCCCAAAGCUCCAGUAGAGGUCAUCUAGAAUGGAGUUCCAACCUGCCACGGUAUCAGCGUUCCCAGCAGCCUCGUGUCCUGCACAUAAGCUGUUAAGUGGCCAUCUGUGCACUGAUAGAAAAGACUGAACAAGACGUACGUGGUCAAGUUCAGGGAAAGCCCGGGCGUCUCCAGGGACCCGCCAGUUGCCAAAGACUCCCAGAUAGCAAGAUGAACACUGAGA
rnacentral:lncRNA from 1 species